GACUGCGCUUCUGCUCAUUAGGACUACGCCGCCCACUGUGGCCGCCGCUUUUGCUCGCUCCGACCACAUGGCCGCCGCUUCCGCUCGCUUCAAAGACGCUGCCGGUUCCGCCGGGGCCCCGCGGAAAGCGCCGUCUCGGCUUCCGUAGAGGCGCGCACACCAAUAGCGUCAUAGCGACUGGCUGCAGCACCACCCCCUCUUAAAGGGGCCGCGGCUCGGACUGCACAGAAGCAGCUUCGCGUUGCGGCACAGGCUGAGCCUCUGCCCAGCCCCAGCGGUAGACCAAAGAGAGGACUCUAGAAACCUGAACCCGCCCCCCUUCAGCUCCCCACUCCCUGGCAAAGGGCUCCAGCUGCUCUGGAUGAUGAGGAAGCCGGGCACCUCUGACAAGCUGUUGGCUGGACACAGUGGCUUACAUCUGUAAUUCCGGAAUUGGGGAGGCUAAGGUGGGUGAAGUGCUUGAACCCAGAAGUUUGAGACCAGCCUAGGCGACAUGGCAAAACCGAGUCUCUACAUCUCGACACAAACAAACAAACCUGAAAUUAGCCGGUCAUCUGCAGUCCCAGCUAUGUACUCAGGAAACUAAGGCCAGCGGAUCUGUUGAGUCCUGGAGAUCGAGGCUGCAGUGAGCCACGAUCAUACCACUGCACUCCAGCCUGGGCAACAGAAAGAGACCCUGUCUCAAAAAAUAAUAAAGUACAUAAAUAAAUAAAUAAACUGUUGAUUGGGAGCCGUGUAUGCACCAGGCCCUAAGCGGGGCAUGAUGAGAUGGGAUGAAGAGUCUGGAGACUUGGGAAAGGCUGCACCUCUGGAGGGAGGCCGCAGCUUCUCCUUCAUCAAAGAGGUCC
rnacentral:lncRNA from 1 species